rnacentral:rRNA from 1 species
AACGAACGCUGGCGGCAUGCCUAACACAUGCAAGUCGAACGAGACCUUCGGUCUAGUGGCGCACGGGUGCGUAACGCGUGGGUAACCUGCCUUGUACUGGGGGACAACAGUUAGAAAUGACUGCUAAUACCGCAUAAGCGCACAGUAUCGCAUGAUACAGUGUGAAAAACUCCGGUGGUACAAGAUGGACCCGCGUCUGAUUAGCUAGUUGGUAAGGUAACGGCUUACCAAGGCGACGAUCAGUAGCCGACCUGAGAGGGUGACCGGCCACAUUGGGACUGAGACACGGCCCAAA